rnacentral:tRNA from 1 species
CAGGGAGACAACAACUGAUCUUGAUGUCUGAGUUAUUAAUUCUUAGGCUGAGAUCCUGUCACCUUAGGUCGAUCGGUACCUCAGAUUAUCUUUCAGAAGCUUCAAUAGUUUUUGAUUUAAUUUCAGUUCCUAAACUUGUCUAGGUCACACCCUCAAGGGUUACUCCUGGGCCAUUAGCUCAGGUGGUUAGAGCGCACCCCUGAUAAGGGUGAGGUCCCUGGUUCAAGUCCAGGAUGGCCCAUUCGGUGUUGGGGGUAUAGCUCAGUUGGUAGAGCGCCUGCUUUGCAAGCAGGAUGUCAGCGGUUCGAGUCCGCUUACCUCCACUGGCCGACCCCUUUCAGCAAUGAGUUGAGAGCCUUUGUUUGAUGUGAUUUAGUCUUUAUUCCGCUGAUAGAACCUAGCUUCCUUUCAUUCCAAUUCUUAGUAAAGAUAAGGUUGAAAGAAUGCUGGGCUCACUUCAAUUUAAAUUUUAAAUUGAAGAGAUGUUCGGCAGAGCCUUGACAACUGCAUAGUGAGUCUGGAAAAGAAGAAAAGCAUCUCAUAGAUGCAUUGCUCUCUUUUUUAUCUUUGGCUAGAUCAAAGAAAAUCUAGAAAGCAAUGUUUUUUUAUUGAGUAAGAGCUGAGAGUUUAUGGCUUUAGGAUCUUUAAAAUAAGGUUUUAGAACCCAUAGAUUUUUAUUUU